rnacentral:rRNA from 1 species
GUGAGGAAUAUUGCGCAAUGGAGGCAACUCUGACGCAGCCAUGCCGCGUGCAGGAAGAAGGCGCUACGCGUUGUAAACUGCUUUUAACCGGGAAGAAACCCCAGGACGUGUCCUGGGUUGACGGUACCGGAGGAAUAAGCACCGGCUAACUUCGUGCCAGCAGCCGCGGUAAUACGAAGGGUGCAAGCGUUAUCCGGAUUCAUUGGGUUUAAAGGGUGCGUAGGCGGAGCGUUAAGUCAGUGGUGAAAUCCUGCAGCUUAACUGUAGACUUGCCAUUGAUACUGGCGCUCUUGAGUGCGCUUGAAGUGGGCGGAAUGUGCCGUGUAGCGGUGAAAUGCUUAGAUAUGGCACCGAACACCAAUUGCGAAGGCAGCUCACUAAGGCGAUACUGACGCUGAGGCACGAAAGCGUGGGGAUCGAACAGGAUUAGAAACCCUAGUAGUCC